rnacentral:rRNA from 1 species
UCCUGGCUUAGGAUGAACGCUGGCGGCGUGCCUAACACAUUCAAGUCGAACGGACGCGUCCCUCGGGGAACAAGUUAGUGGCGGACGGGUGAGUAAUGCAUGAGCAACCUGCCUCAAAGAGGGGAAUAACACAGAGAAAUUUGUGCUAAUACCGCAUAAUGUGCAUAGAAGGCAUCUUCUAUGCAAGAAAGGAGCAAUCCGCUUUGAGAUGGGCUCAUGUCUGAUUAGACAGUUGGCGGGGUAACGGCCCACCAAAUCUACGAUCAGUAGCCGGACUGAGAGGUUGAACGGCCACAUUGGGACUGAGACACGGCCCAGACUCCUACGGGAGGCAGCAGUGGGGAAUAUUGGACAAUGGGCGAAAGCCUGAUCCCAGCGACGCCGCGUGAAGGAAGAAGGUCUUCGGAUUGUAAACUUUAGUGAGCAGGGACGAUAAUGACGGUACCUGCAGAGCAAGCCACGGCUAACUACGUGCCAGCCGCCGC